rnacentral:rRNA from 1 species
CUUCGGACAAUAUCAAGGUGCUGCAUGGUUGUCGUCAGCUCGUGCCGUGAGGUGUCGGGUUAAGUCCCAUAACGAGCGCAACCCCUAUCAUUAGUUGCCAUCAGGUCAAGCUGGGGACUCUAAUGAAACUGCCUACGCAAGUAGUGAGGAAGGUGGGGAUGACGUCAAAUCAGCACGGCCCUUACGUCCAGGGCUACACACGUGCUACAAUGGCCGGUACAAAGGGCAGCUACCUGGUGACAGGAUGCUAAUCUCAAAAGCCGGUCUCAGUUCGGAUCGGAGUCUGCAACCCGACUCCGUGAAGCUGGAUUCGCUAGUAAUCGCGCAUCAGCCACGGCGCGGUGAAUACGUUCCCGGGCCUU